GAAAAUGAAUCUAAUUCAUUAAUAAAUAAUUAUACAAUUAAAAAUGUUAAUUCUACUUCAAUUACUAUAAACGAUGGUCAUAUACCCCAAUCAAAUGUUAGUAAUUUGAAAGAUAUGGAUAAAAACAAUAGUGAUGAUGGGGAUGUAUCAGAAAAGUUAUUGGCCACUUCUGAAGUUAAUGCUGAUUUACCAUUAAUAAACAAUCAAGAAAUCAAUUUACUAACAAGAUAUGAGAACAUUGAAAACAGUGAUAAUGGAUCUGAAUUUCUAGAGAAUAUUUCUAUCAUUAAUAACUUUGAUGAU